GGGGGGGCAGUGUCCGCACAGGGACCUAGUGAAUAUCUAUUGACUGACAGGUGCCAGUUAACUGUUCACGUCGCUCCUGUUUGGUCUCUGGGUGCUUCCUUUCUCCUGUGACGUCUCCCUCGCUGCUUGCCCUCCUGGCUGCAGCCUGAAGCGCCCGGUGGGGCUCCAGCAGCUGGUCGGGAGCUGGCGAGGAGGAGCCCCAGCUCGGCCUGCUGAGCCAUGGAGAGGAGUCUCGUUUCCAUCAGUUCUUCUUGGGCCUCUGAGCUUGGAGUGAGAUGAGAUCCGCCCUGGAUCCAGUAGCCUGGGCCCUUGCCUCACACGGACACGGGAAGGAAACAAAUGCCCACGACCAGCUUUUAUGUUUUUUCUCUACUCUUCUGGGAAAAAUAGGGUCCUGGCUUCCAGAACGUUCCCUGAAGCCAGGAAGGGCCAGGGCUCCAGUUUCGCCUUUGUCAGCUCCAGACCCGUUUGCAGUUCCAUCAGAAGGAGGCAUCGCCCCCACAGAACACCCCUCCUCACUCCCACAGGACGCCGUCCCUGUGAAGAAGGACUGUGUUGUUGUCGGAGCUGCUGCCACUCAGCCUGGAACGAGCCUCCCGACUCGGCGUGGCCUGUUUCCAUCUACCUGCUCUACGGGGCCUUCGAUUCUGGAGACCAGUUCAGUAAAUACGUCCGUACCUGUGCUAUAUAUACGUAUAUCGAUAUAUAUGAAUAAAUGCUCAUUGGACUAUCGUUUACGACAGGUUAAGACCAGCAACCACAGAGUGUGCCUGGAUAGGGGCAGGUGGCGGAUGAUAGGAAUGACUGUGACAGCAGGAACACACAUUGCUGGAGCCCUGCCUUUGCCCAGAGCUCACACUGAGAACAACCAUUGCAAAGAGCAGAAUGGGUUUGCCCUGGCCAACGUGGAGGUCGCUCAUUAACACAGACGGAAGGGACCUGACGGCAGACGUGGGGGACGGGAAGGCUGCCUCCUGCUCAGAGCCGGUCCCGCUCCAGUCCAUCUGCCCAUGUCCAGAUCUGGGCAGUGGUGGGGUGAUGCACGAGAGGAAGAGCUGGGCCUCAGGAGAAACUCGAUAAGCAAAAGUGAGCAGGUGCACCUUGAGAGAACCGACUGGAGUCAUCUUCACCAUGUGUUCAGGUGUCUGCUAACUUUAUAAAAACAGUUUGUCCCUUGACAGUCCAUGAGCAGAGGAAGGAUUGAACUCACCAGGAUGGAAGGAGCCAGCUUGGGUGGAAGGAGGAUGAAAUAAGGUACAAACAAGAUGAUACCCCAUAUUGGUAUGUCUGCACCACCUUCUGGGUCUCUAUCCUGUCAAAGCCCAGGGCCUACAGGUCCCAUCCUCUCGUGUCCAGGACGAGAUUCAGUGAUUAUCACCUGGCAUAGAAUGGACGCUCAGGCCUACACAUGAACAGCAGCCCUGGACUCACCUGGGCGUGGCCUCUGACCAAACUCUCCCUGAGGCCACCCCAACACAUUCCUGCCUCCAGUCGCCGCAUCUGGCUGCUGUGGGAGCUUCCUGGUCAUGACAUCAAUGUCCCCAGCCUGAUUUCAAGGGAAAACUAAAUGAAGGAGAAGGCAAGGCUGACAAGAGGCUGGGCCCUGACUGGGGUCUGGGAAGCUGGUCAUGCUGGAGACACGGCCCAUGGGCACUGGCUAUGGGCAGAAUCGAGAUGAUCAUCCCAGACAGGCCGGGCUCCUGGAGCUUGGUGUGGAAUCACGCUACUGUUUGGAGCAGCCCAGGGCAGAAGGGAGCAGGUGGAACUUCCCCUGUGACCUGAAGGAAAUCAAUCGCAGGGCUGGGGGACUUUGGCACCUUACAAAUAUCCUGUUCUUUCAUUUUCCACCUGUUGGUUUCUCCCCAGUUGAUAAGGCUGCCCUGGAUCAAUAAUUCAUUUCCACUGAGGAUUGUGCGAUGAUGACUUUCCAGUUCCACUGUCCCCUCCCUGCUUGGUGACUGUCAUUGUCCUGUGAAGCGGAGCCUUUGGGGGAGGCUCUGAAUGACAGGCCCUGUGGAAGGCAGGGCGAAGGCUUCCUCCUGUCCCUUUCUUCAUCGGUUUUCGAAGUGAUGUGUGGUCCUGGUUGGGUCCUGGUUAUAACAUACCGACACAACGAACAUUUGAAAACCAUUGGAAAAAUCAGAAUAAAACCUGGGUAUUAGAGGGGCUGGCCGGUUAAGUGCACAUGUUCCACUUCGGUGGCCUGGGGUUGGUCAGUUCGAAUCCUGGGUGUGGAGAUGGCACUGCAUGGCAAGCCAUGCUGUGGUAGG
rnacentral:lncRNA from 1 species